rnacentral:misc_RNA from 1 species
GAAAUGCGAUAAGUAGUGUGAAUUGCAGAAUUCAGUGAAUCAUCGAAUCUUUGAACGCACAUUGCGCCCCUUGGUAUUCCAUGGGGCAUGCCUGUUCGAGCGUCAUUUGUACCCUCAAGCUCUGCUUGGUGUUGGGUGUUUGUCCCGUCUCCGCGCGUGGACUCGCCCCAAAGUGAUUGGCAGCCGGCGUACUGGUCCCGGAGCGCAGCACAUGUCGCGCAAACGAGUGCCUUGGUACGGCGGCGUCCAUAAGCCCCUCUCUCACGCUCUUGACCUCGGAUCAGGUAGGUAUACCCGCUGAACUUAAGC